CGCCUCUUGCCUCCCAUAAGAGGUCCAGCCUGCCCAGUGACUCUGUUCAACGGCCGCGGUAUCCUAACCGUGCGAAGGUAGCGUAAUCACUUGUUCUUUAAAUGAGGACUAGUAUGAAUGGCCCCACGAAGGCUACGCUGUCUCCUUUUUCUAAUCAAUGAAACUAAUCUCCUCGUGAAGAAGCGAGAAUAAUUUUAUAAGACGAGAAGACCCUAUGGAGCUUUAAACAACUGAAAAAUUGCAUACUUUCAUCUCCUACCUCCCGAGACUUUCCUUUUAUUUAAGCACUUUUAUUUCCAGUUUUAGGUUGGGGUGACCACGGAGCAAAAUUUAACCUCCACGACGAAAAAGGCCCUCUUUUAGCUAAAAGCUACUCCUUUAAGCAUCAGCAAACUGACUUCUUUUGACCCAAUAAAUUGAUCAACGAACCAAGUUACCCUAGGGAUAACAGCGCAAUCUACUUUAAGAGCUCAUAUCGACAGGUAGGUUUACGACCUCGAUGUUGGAUCAGGGUAUCCUAGUGGUGCAGCCGCUACUAAAGGUUCGUUUGUUCAACGAUUAAAACCCU
rnacentral:rRNA from 1 species